CUUUCCCACAGUAGGCAUGCAGACCAGGGCUCCUGAUUUCAGCCAGAGGUGAAUCCCAUAAUUAAAUGCAGCUGGUCCCUUUUCUCAUAAAAGUCUUACCUCCAAGGUGUAUGGGAACAGCUGAAUCAGGGCCUGAACCUCUGAUUGACCACCUGAGGCGAGCCAUGAGUCAGCC